rnacentral:lncRNA from 1 species
UGCUACCUCACUUUUUUUUUAUUUUCUUCACUAUCUGCAGGUAGACGACAAAGUGAAUUUCCAUUUUAUCCUGUUCAAUAAUGUGGACGGCCACCUCUACGAGCUCGAUGGGCGAAUGCCUUUCCCGGUGAACCAUGGCGCCAGUUCAGAGGACUCUCUGCUGCAGGUAAUCCAUCCCCGAGUGCCUCUCCUCCCUGCAGACCCCUUUCUUCCAGCCGCUUUUGUGCAUUCUGCUGACAUUCAGGAACCCCGAAUCACUAAUAGCAUUGUUUAGGGCUUAAAGAUGGCUUUAGUCAUUCUGUCUGCCUUGUUUUAUUAGCAGGUGGUUUUAAACCGGAUCCUAAA